rnacentral:rRNA from 1 species
GACGAACCGUCCAAACGUUAUUCGGAAUCACUGGGCUUAAAGGGUGCGUAGGCGGUCCGGGAAGUUGGGUGUGAAAGCCCUCGGCUCAACCGAGGAAUUGCGUCCAAAACUGCCGGACUUGAGGGAGACAUAGGUGAGCGGAACCUAGGGUGGAGCGGUGAAAUGCGUUGAGAUCCUAGGGAACACCAGUAGCGAAAGCGGCUCACUGGGUCUCUUCUGACGCUGAUGCACGAAAGCUAGGGGAGCGAAGAGG